UCCAGCUCCUGUAGCAUGAAAGAAAACUACGAUUAAAAACCCACAGCACAGCUGCGUGAGUCCAUGUGAACGGAUGGAGGUGGAGGUCAGACGAAAGGAUUUUUAGGUGCCGCAAAAUUUGUGCAACAGAAUCCACAUUGCCUGUCUGGUCUACUUUCCUGACGUAGGUCCAGAAACCUGUUUUGAUUUGAUGGUUUUGGCGUCAGUGAGACGGCGGUCUGUUUCAGGUGACGGUGUAAAGUCUGCUGAACAGACACGUCUGGAAAUAAAGAGAUCUAUUCAGCGCUUAAUGGUAAGCUUCCCAGAGGCUCUGGGGCAGAUUUGUGGUGGGCGAGGAGGAACAUUUACAAUGUAAAACAAGCCUGCUACAUGCUGCACGGCUCUGUCCGGCCUUCAUCAAGACACUCCUGUUCUGUGGACUCGGGUCGAAAGCAAGCAGCACCGGUGUACUUUACACAAAUAUAGACAUCUAUCUAUCUAUCUA
ensembl:lncRNA